rnacentral:rRNA from 1 species
UAAUAAUUAAUUUUUUAUUAAUAUUUAAUGUUUAUUUUGAUUUUGUUAAAAUAUUAUAUUUUUAUUAUUUUUAAGAAAAGAUUAUUUUAAUGAUAGUUUAAAGUACUGUAGAGGAAGAUUAAUUUUCUAUUUAAAAGAAAAGUUAAUUUUUUGUACCUUGUGUCUCAGGGUUUAUUAAAAAUAUUUUUGUAUAAUUAUUUCUCGAAUUUAAAAGAUUUAUUUUUAUAUUUUUUUAGUGUAACAUAACUAUUAUAAAUAUAGGGAUGGUAAUGAAAUGUUAUUCGUUUUUAAAUAUAUCUAGUUUUUUAGGAAUUAAGUUUAAUUUCAAUUGUUAUCAAUAAUUUUUUUCUUUUUUAGUCAUUUGUUUGUUAAUAAUAUAUUUCCUAGGGGAAAAGCUCUGGGUUUUAUUUCUAUUAUUUAUAUAUUAAUUGUGAAUUCGUAGGAUUGAAAUUUUCUAUCUUUAAUAAGUUUGUUAUAAGAUAUUUAUUUUAGGUUAUUAUUUUAUUUUAUAUAGAUUUAUUACUAAAAUUUUUUUUUUAAUUAUUUUAUUAAGUAAUAAUGGUGAAAUUAGUAUAAUUUUUGGUUUUGUCUGUUUAAAGUUUAGGUUAUUAUAAGGAACUCGGCAACUUAAUUUUUCACCUGUUUAUUAAAAACAUGUCUUUUGAGAUUAUAAUUAAAGGUUUAACCUGCCCGCUGAUAUUUGAAUGGCCGCGGUACUUUGACCGUGCUAAGGUAGCAUAAUAAUUAGUUUAUUAAUUGUGAACUGGAAUGAAGGGUUGGAUGAAAAGAUAUCUGUCUCUUUUUGAUUGUUAGAAUUUUAUUUUUUAGUGAAAAAGCUUAAAUAUUUUAAUAGGACGAGAAGACCCUGUAGAGUUUUAUAUUUUUAUUUUUUUUUGUUUAUUAGGGAUAAACUAUAGUAAUUUUUAAAAAUAUUUGAUUGGGGCGAUCUAUAAAUUUAUGUAACUUUUUAGGAUUAUUAACAUUAAUAAGUGUUUAUUUGAUCCGUUUUUACACGAUUAUAAGAUUAAAUUACCUCAGGGAUAACAGCGUAAUUUUUUCUAAGAGUUCAAAUCGACGAGAAAGAUUGCGACCUCGAUGUUGGAUUAAAAGUUAUUUUCUGGUGUAGGAGCUAGAAAUUAAGGUCUGUUCGACCUGUAAAUUUUUACAUGAUCUGAGUUUAGACCGGCGUGAGCCAGGUUGGUUUCUAUCCUUUAGAAAUUUAUAAAUUUUAGUACGAAAGGAAUAGAUUUUUAGUUAAU